rnacentral:rRNA from 1 species
AACCGCUCAUUCAGAUAAUUGGUUUUUGCGGCUGUCUGACAAGGCAGUGCCGCGAAGCUACCAUCUGCUGGAUAAUGGCUGAACGCCUCUAAGUCAGAAUCCAUGCCAGAAAGCGAUGAUUUUCUCCCACACAUCGUAGUCGGAUACGAAUAGGCCUUUGGCCCUGAAUUCUAGCUGGUCGGUAACGGGGUCCCGGUGGAAGUCCGGGGCUCUAGCUGACGUCUUGCAAUUUCACCAUGCGUGGGGAUAGAUCCUUUGCAUACGACUUAUUUGUGCCACACUGUCGUGUAAGUAGUAGAGUAGUCUUGUUAUUACGAUCUACUGAGCGUAAGCGGUCGCAGCCUAGACCUGUAGAUUUUACAUCUC